GUGGGGAAUAUUGGACAAUGGGCGAAAGCCUGAUCCAGCCAUGCCGCGUGUGUGAAGAAGGUCUUCGGAUUGUAAAGCACUUUAAGUUGGGAGGAAGGGCAGUAAGUUAUUACCUUGCUGUUUUGACGUUACCGACAGAAUAAGCACCGGCUAACUUCGUGCCAGCAGCCGCGGUAAUACGAAGGGUGCAAGCGUUAAUCGGAAUUACUGGGCGUAAAGCGCGCGUAGGUGGUUUUGUAAGUUGGAGGUGAAAUCCCCGGGCUCAACCUGGGAACUGCCUCCAAAACUGCAUGACUAGAGUACGGUAGAGGGUAGUGGAAUUUCCUGUGUAGCGGUGAAAUGCGUAGAUAUAGGAAGGAACACCAGUGGCGAAGGCGACUACCUGGACUGAUACUGACACUGAGGUGCGAAAGCGUGGGGAGCAAACAGGAUUAGAUACCCCUGUAGUCC
rnacentral:rRNA from 1 species